rfam:Pelodiscus sinensis unplaced genomic scaffold scaffold190, whole genome shotgun sequence.
UAGCUCAGUGGUUUGAGCAUUGGCCUGCUAAACCCAAGGUUGUGAGUUCAAUUCUUGC